GAUGAACGCUGGCGGCGUGCCUAAUACAUGCAAGUCGAGCGAACAGACGAGGAGCUUGCUCCUCUGACGUUAGCGGCGGACGGGUGAGUAACACGUGGAUAACCUACCUAUAAGACUGGGAUAACUUCGGGAAACCGGAGCUAAUACCGGAUAAUAUAUUGAACCGCAUGGUUCAAUAGUGAAAGACGGUUUUGCUGUCACUUAUAGAUGGAUCCGCGCCGCAUUAGCUAGUUGGUAAGGUAACGGCUUACCAAGGCAACGAUGCGUAGCCGACCUGAGAGGGUGAUCGGCCAAACGGGAACGGAGAAACGGUCCAGACUCCUACGGGAGGCAGCAGUGGGGAAUCUUCCGCAAGGGGCGAAAGCCUGACGGAGCAACGCCGCGUGAGGGAUGAAGGUCUUCGGAUCGUAAAACUCUGUUAUUAGGGAAGAACAAAUGGGAAAGUAACUAUGCACGUCUUGGCGGUACCUAAUCAAAAAGCCCCGGCUAACUACGU
rnacentral:rRNA from 1 species